rnacentral:rRNA from 1 species
GACGAACGCUGGCGGCGUGCUUAACACAUGCAAGUCGAACGGAAAGGCCCUGCUUUUGUGGGGUGCUCGAGUGGCGAACGGGUGAGUAACACGUGAGUAACCUGCCCUUGACUUUGGGAUAACUUCAGGAAACUGGGGCUAAUACCGGAUAGGAGCUCCUGCUGCAUGGUGGGGGUUGGAAAGUUUCGGCGGUUGGGGAUGGACUAGCGGCUUAUCAGCUUGUUGGUGGGGUAGUGGCUUACCAAGGUUUUGACGGGUAGCCGGCCUGAGAGGGUGACCGGCCACAUUGGGACUGAGAUACGGCCCAGACUCCUACGGGAGGCAGCAGUGGGGAAUAUUGCACAAUGGGCGGAAGCCUGAUGCAGCAACGCCGCGUGCGGGAUGACGGCCUUCGGGUUGUAAACCGCUUUCGCCUGUGACGAAGCGUGAGUGACGGUAAUGGGUAAAGAAGCACCGGCUAACUACGUG